GAAAUGAACAAAACAAAUCCACGGAGACAGUAGAUCUUUAAUUACAAAGAAGGCAAGAAAUGAACAAAACAAAUCCAUGCACGGAGACAGUAGAUCAAAGUAAAAUAUCAGGAAUAUGGUUUCGGAAGGAUAAGCGUCUUCUGUAUCAUCCAUUGAGACUCGAUAUUGUGGACUCUUCCUGAAAACCCCUCGCAGCCUGGUUACUACAACUUCCAUUAGACCACAGUUAUGUGGAGACAUAAAACAGGACUCUGCCGAAGGAGUUGUCCUCAGGUCAUCUAAAGCUUCUGCCUAAGAGAAGUCAUGAGGCAAUGAGAGACUGUCACUGUGGGUUGACGGAGUGAGAAAGGAUAUUUGGUUCGCCCUGGGAGAGAUUGCCACAUUUGUGAUUCGCGAACAACAAGUUUUCAUCAACAACAAAGCUAUUCCUGUUAUCAUCUGUCCAGAUUUAGUUGCCAUUCUGUCCGUGCUAUUCUUCUGAAUUUGUUUAUCACUCAUUCUAAACACGGCACUUGGGGGUUGUCUGCAUUGACAAAAAUAUCCGUAUUGUCAAAAUUUACGGGGAAAGGCGGGGGUGGGUGGGGUUUCUACAGACUCGGUCAGGAAGAAGGCUUGGUACGCACUGGGAGAGAUCGGCGUCGUUUAAAUCAUCAUCUUUCUAGAUAUCGUUAAUAUCAUUAUAGGGGGAAUCGGAUGAAUGUCACAAAUACAUCUAUACUGUAUUAUGUUAAUGUAUUAUCUCUGUAUCAUAAAGUUGGAUGAGAAAUAAAUGAAUCUUGAAUUCCGUGCUA